GGGGAUGUGUUGGAAUUGGCAGACAGGCAUGACUUAGGAUCAUGUGCCGCAAGGCGUGUGGGUUCGACUCCCACCAUCCCCACCA
rnacentral:tRNA from 1 species